rnacentral:tRNA from 1 species
AAGAGAGUGGCAGAUCGGUUAUGUGGCUAAUUUGAAAUUAGUAGAAGGGGGUUCAAUUCCUUCUUCUCUUG